rnacentral:rRNA from 1 species
CAGCAAGGAAUUUUCGGCAAUGGGCGCAAGCCUGACCGAGCAACGCCGCGUGGAGGAUGACGGCUCUUGGGUUGUAAACUCCUUUUGGGGGGGACGAUAAUGACGGUACCCUCCGAAUCAGGCCCGGCUAACUACGUGCCAGCAGCCGCGGUAAUACGUAGGGGCCAAGCGUUGUCCGGAAUUACUGGGCGUAAAGCGUGGGUAGGUGGUCGAUGAUGUGCCGCGUGAAAGCGCCGGAGUAAUGCCGGCGAGGUCGCGGUAGACACGUUGACUAGAGGCUCGCAGAGGAACGUGGAAUUCCCGGUGUAGUGGUGAAAUGCGUAGAUAUCGGGAGGAACACCAGUGGCGCAAGCGGCGUUCUGGGCGAGACCUGACACUGAGCCACGACGGCGUGGGGAGCAAACAGGAUUAGA